rnacentral:lncRNA from 10 species
GACCCUGGUCUCAUAUGCGCCAAGAACCUCAAAUUUAAAAUUGGGAUUUUUUUUUACUUAAAAAAAAAAUCUGACUACCCUCAAAUAUACAAAUGAUUCUAGUCUUCCCUGAUUUCUAAAAGGUCCUGAUACCAAACAUGAACCUGCAUUUUCAUCCAUCUUUGCAACCAGUAUUGAUAGAGUGGCUACUGUGACUUGCACUAAGCUGGGUGGGCAUGCUUUAGGCACCCAGGGAAGCAAGGCAUGGUCUCUCACCUCAAGGAGCCCACCCACUUCCAGGAGAAACAGGUCUGUCCACUUGAAACUGCCCUGGUGUGAUGCAUGGCUUGCUGGAGGCAUGGAGAAGUGGGAAAAUUCUAAGGUGAUUCGAGUUGGGACCUACUCAGAGAAUGGUUCAUAUAAGGAAGAAUAAGUACCCCGAUAUGGGUGGAUAAUUUCUCACAAGAGACAUGACUUGAGCAAAGAUACACAAACAUAAAAAGUAGCUUUGCCACUUCAUUCUUGGGCCCACGCUGAAGAACCAGUCUUUUUCUGAAACAUUGCUAAGAAUGUGGCAGAAGGAAGAGAUAUGGCAGAACUUCAUCAUGGCCCUGACAAACUCUGCUCUGAAAACCUUCAUGAUGGUGCUGAAAACUGACUCCCCCUGAGAGUUCCUUGGCUAAAUGAGUCACUUGGCCAAGCCUGACAUCCUCAGAGUGGGAAAACAAUCUUCCCAAAAUAAGGGCACCAUAAAUUACAUAGCCAAACCUCAUGUCAGUAGAAUGGCAGGUAAAAUCCUCCCACAAGAAGGAGCAGCAUAUAUUUGGAAAUAAAAAAUGCAGUCCACUACAUCUCAAUCAUUACAGCCUCAGAGGCUGAAAAUUUGUCACAGGGUGAUAUGGUUUGUCUGUAUCCCCACCCAAAUCUCGUCCUGAGUUGUAGUUUCCAUAAUUUCUGUGUGUCAUGGGAGGGACCUGGUGGGAGGUAAUUGAAUCAGGGGACAGGUCUUUCUCAUGCUCUUCUAGUGAUAGUGAAUAAGUCUUAUGAGAUCUGAUAGUUUUAUAAAGGGGGGUUCUUCCACACACGCUCUCUCGCCUGCUGCCAUGUAAGACGUGACUUUGCUCCUCAUUUGCCUUCCGUCAUGAUUUUGAGGCCUCCCCAGCCAUGUGGGACUGUGAGUUAAUUAAAACUCUUCCUUUAUAAAUUACCCAGUCUCGGGUAUGUCUUUAUUAGCAGCAUGAGAACAGAUUAACAAAUGUGUUUAGCUAAAAAUUGAGGCUUCAUCAUUAUAUAAGAAAGAGGAUAGAUAUAGGGGACAUUAAGCAGUCUUCUUUAGUGGCUACUCUAGUAUUUUAAUUUACUUAACACCUUUAUUGUCCUCUCAGACAAUAAAAAACCUUAUGACACUUUAACCCUUAUCAUCUUCCCCACAACUUAA